AUACGGAGGAUGCAAGCGUUAUCCGGAUUUAUUGGGUUUAAAGGGUGCGUAGGCGGUUUGCUAAGCGGGAGGUGAAAUGCCGGCGCUCAACGUCGGAAGUGCCUCCCGAACUGGUGGACUUGAAUGACUCUGCCGUGGGAGGAAUGUGUAGUGUAGCGGUGAAAUGCUUAGAGAUUACACAGAACACCGAUUGCGAAGGCAUCUCACGAAGGGUUGAUUGACGCUGAGGCACGAAAGCGUGGGGAUCAAACAGGAUUAGAUACCCUGUUAGUCCACGCAGUAAACGAUGAUGGCUAACCGCUGGAUCCAUCGGUUCAGUGGCCAAGCGAAAGCGAUAAGCCAUCCACCUGGGGAGUACGACCGCAAGGUUGAAACUUAAAGGAAUUGACGGGG
rnacentral:rRNA from 1 species